CUUUAAAGGAUAAAAGUCAUCCAC
rnacentral:tRNA from 1 species